CGCCUGAGAGGGUGACAGCCCCGUCGGCCCGGGACCCUGCCGCAUCACGAGGCGUUGUCGGCGAGUCGGGUUGUUUGGGAAUGCAGCCCCAAUCGGGCGGUAAAUUCCGUCCAAGGCUAAAUACGGGCGAGAGACCGAUAGCGAACAAGUACCGCGAGGGAAAGAUGAAAAGGACUUUGAAAAGAGAGUUAAAGAGUGUUUGAAAUUG
rnacentral:rRNA from 1 species